rnacentral:lncRNA from 1 species
AAGCACCUCACCCAUCUCAGUACUUCCCAAGCCACAGGACGGAGUGUGGGAGCGAAGCCCCUUCAUCAAAGCACCAGAAAGAUGUCAGCAGAAAAACAAACAGAUGGAACUUCGGACAGCCAAAUCCAGUGAGGUGUGAGCUAACCUCCCCACCCAGUCAUGUGCUUACACAUGGGAACAAAACCCAAGAGGGUGGCCAGCCUUCAGCCCAGUGCCCAGGGAUGAAACAUGGCCCAAGAAAUAACACCACCACCAUCAGCUGUCCAUGCUUCCACCUCAAGCACUGAGCAAGAUCCUCUGGCAAAUGACCUCACUGGGAGGUAAAGAGGAAAGCGCUAUUGUCAACUCCAUUCUUCAGAGUCUCACUCUAUCCCCCAAGCUGGAGUGCAGCGGCAGGAUCUCAGCUCAUUGCAACCUCUGCCUCCCUGGUUCAAGCGAUUCUCAUGCCUCAGCCUCCCAAGUAGCUGGGAUUACAGGCACGUGCUACCACACCCCACUAAUUUUGUAUUUUUAGUAGAGAUGGGGUUUUGCCAUGUUGGCCUGGCUGGUCUCGAACCCUUGACCCCAGGUGAUCCGCCUCGGCCUCCCAAAGUGCCAGAAUUACAAGCAUGAGCCACUGUGCCUGGCCUAAAUUUCCUAAUUAUUAUAGGGUCUACUCAAAUUAUAUAUUUCAUGUUGGGUGAGUUGCGGUAAUUUGUGUUUUUCUGAGGGAGUGGUUCAUUCAGCCUAAGGUGUCAAACUAUGUAUAUAGACUUGUUCAUAACAGUCUAUUAUUAUCCUUUUGAUAACUGCAGGGUCUGUAGUGAUAGCCCCUCUUUCAUUGCUGAUAUUGACAGUUUGUGUUUUCUCUCUGUUUUUGUCAGUUUUACUCUUAAAAUUGACUAUUUUAUUGACCUUUUCAAAAAAAAUAAAACCUCUGUUUCAUCAAUUUUCUCUAUUGUGUUUCUAUUUUCAAUUUCAUAGAUUUCAGAUAUUACCUUUAUUAUUUCCUUCAUUCUGUUUGCUUUGGGUUUAUUUUG